CUUUUUAUUGUUCUCAUGUGCUUCUGUUUUUGUUGGAUGUUGUCAGUCGGAAGGUCCUACUGGUGGAGAUGAAGAAGAGUCUGAGAAGUCAGUAUCUGAGGUGAAUGAUGAGGAUGAUGAUGAGGAGGGCAGUGCCGAGGUUUUUAUAUUUAUUCUUUUUCCACCUUUCUCUUAUUGGUUAUGGUAUCUAUUUGCUUCGUCUUUACUUGGUGUUGUUUUUUUGUUUUUGUUUUUCCGUGCAGGAGGAAGAUGAUGAUUAGAAAGUGGACCGAUAACCAUUUAUGUAGGUUUUGAUGAUUUUGAUCAUCUUUUGUAGGUGGUCUGGUCAUUUCCUGAUAAACAAACAUGUUUCUUGCUUCCAGAAAAUAUUUCUCUGCUCCCUCCGUAAAUUUGUUUUGU
rnacentral:lncRNA from 1 species